AAGAGAAACCAUUGUCCAUCAUGGCCGGUACAGAUUCAAGAAUCAAGAAACAAAGACGGAAAGUGCGCUUUCAAGUGAGAUACAGAAGGAAGGAGAGAAAGAGAAAGACAGACAGAGGGAGACAGAGAAAGGGUCUUAAAAUGAGAAGAGUGUGCGGUUUUUUAAUUUGUUUGUUUGGGCUUUUGAGAAGAAAGAGCGAGAAAGUGAAAGAAAAAUGCAAAAGAACGAAAGAAACA
rnacentral:misc_RNA from 1 species